rnacentral:rRNA from 1 species
GAUGAACGCUGGCGGCGUGCCUAAUACAUGCAAGUCGAGCGAACGGACGAGAAGCUUGCUUCUCUGAUGUUAGCGGCGGACGGGUGAGUAACACGUGGAUAACCUACCUAUAAGACUGGGAUAACUUCGGGAAACCGGAGCUAAUACCGGAUAAUAUUUUGAACCGCAUGGUUCAAAAGUGAAAGACGGUCUUGCUGUCACUUAUAGAUGGAUCCGCGCUGCAUUAGCUAGUUGGUAAGGUAACGGCUUACCAAGGCAACGAUGCAUAGCCGACCUGAGAGGGUGAUCGGCCACACUGGAACUGAGACACGGUCCAGACUCCUACGGGAGGCAGCAGUAGGGAAUCUUCCGCAAUGGGCGAAAGCCUGACGGAGCAACGCCGCGUGAGUGAUGAAGGUCUUCGGACCGUAAAACUCUGUUAUUAGGGAAGAACAUAUGUGUAAGUAACUGUGCACAUCUUGACGGUACCUAAUCAGAAAGCCACGGCUAACUACGUGC